rnacentral:rRNA from 2 species
GCUCAUUAAAUCAGUUAUCGUUUAUUUGAUAGUACCUUACUACUUGGAUAACCGUGGUAAUUCUAGAGCUAAUACAUGCUAAAAACCCCAACUUCGGAAGGGGUGUAUUUAUUAGAUAAAAAACCAAUGCCCUUCGGGGCUCCUUGGUGAUUCAUAAUAACUUAACGAAUCGCAUGGCCUUGUGCCGGCGAUGGUUCAUUCAAAUUUCUGCCCUAUCAACUUUCGAUGGUAGGAUAGUGGCCUACCAUGGUUUCAACGGGUAACGGGGAAUUAGGGUUCUAUUCCGGAGAGGGAGCCUGAGAAACGGCUACCACAUCCAAGGAAGGCAGCAGGCGCGCAAAUUACCCAAUCCCGACACGGGGAGGUAGUGACAAUAAAUACUGAUACAGGGCUCUUUUGGGUCUUGUAAUUGGAAUGAGUACAAUUUAAAUCCCUUAACGAGGAACAAUUGGAGGGCAAGUCUGGUGCCAGCAGCCGCGGUAAUUCCAGCUCCAAUAGCGUAUAUUAAAGUUGUUGCAGUUAAAAAGCUCGUAGUUGAACCUUGAACUUGGUUGGUUGGUCCGCCUCACCGCGUGCACUGAUCCGACCGGGUUUUUCCUUCUGGGGAGCCGCAUGUCCUUCAUUGGGUGUGUCGGGGAACCAGGACUUUUACUUUGAAAAAAUUAGAGUGUUCAAAGCAGGCCUAUGCUCGAAUACAUUAGCAUGGAAUAAUAGAAUAGGACGUGUGUCUCUAUUUUGUUGGUUUCUAGGGACGCCGUAAUGAUUAAUAGGGAUAGUCGGGGGCAUCAGUAUUCCGUUGUCAGAGGUGAAAUUCUUGGAUUUACGGAAGACUAACUACUGCGAAAGCAUUUGCCAAGGAUGUUUUCAUUAAUCAGUGAACGAAAGUUAGGGGAUCGAAGACGAUCAGAUACCGUCGUAGUCUUAACCAUAAACUAUGCCGACUAGGGAUCGGGCGAUGUUAUCUUUUUGACUCGCUCGGCACCUUACGAGAAAUCAAAGUCUUUGG